rnacentral:lncRNA from 1 species
CGAGGCUCGUGUGCCGGCGGUGGUACCACAUUAUCCAUUCUCAUGCCUUCAUCAACGCGCAGAUGCACGGUGCUACCUAUGGCCUCCUUUUAUCACCCCCAAACUGGAUUAAUACUCUGCCACUUUAUGUAACAGCCCACGCAGACGGUGGAAUCCACACAUCUAAGAUAACUCACCUCUCCAAAUCGAGAGUUGUUGCUACCUGCAACGGUUUGGAGUUGGAAGCCAAAGGUUACCAAUUCCCUCGUCUUGUGAUUGUGAAUCCUGCAACGAAGCAGUCAUUCCACCUCCCACCAUUGCCUACAAGCGUAAAUGUAAUCUAUGCCGUGCUCCGGUAUGGUUUUGCAUACUCUGCAGCUUCCUUGGCGUAUAAAGUGAUUGCACCGUACCUUUUUGGCCAAUCGCCACCACGCCUAGAAACUGACUGCGGUCUUGACGUGCUCACCGUUGGAAUCGAUGAAUCCUGGAGGCACGUUGAGGUUCACCACCUCCCCGACCAUUUCAGGCCAUUUUUGUUCUUCAUGGAUCCCUUGACUAGUGAAGGUUUCGUGCAUUGGGGAAGGGGGAGAUACUGCGCGACGAUGGAUGUGGAGACGGAGAUCAUUACACUGAGUGAAGCCCCUCAUCAGUACCAUGAAAACAACUAUAAAUAUCUGUCGACUGGGAGGUGUCUGUCUCUCCUGGUAGCGUGUGGGGAUCUGUCGUGGGAGGUUUGGGAGAUGAAGGCAGAGACGGGCGAGUGGAGGAAGGCGCUGCCCAACGUCGACUUGGGAGCUAAGAAAUGCAUGAUUCAACAGCUUGCUCCUAAAGAUGCUCCUCGAGUUCUUGUGCCACUUGGUUGGGUUAACUAUCCACAGGUUUUGGCCUUCUAUUUUGGCGAAGAUAUUUAUCAUGGGUGCCAAUGGCGGCCUUUCAUUUUCUACAAUCUUGAUACGCAUAAACUCUACUCCAUAGAGCUUCCACAAUCCAAUAUUAGUGAGUAUGGGGCUUUUCCGCAUAAGAAUAAUCUGACAUGGCUAAGCUAAAAGAGUAUUAUUGUUUAUAUUUGGUUUAAGUUAAAAGAAUUUAUAUAUUUUGGGGCAAUUUUAAAAAAUAUUUUAUGAUGUUUAUUUCUUCAAGACGCAUCAGCUCAUGUUGUCCAAAUAUUUUAUUUUAGUGAAAGAGUAGUAGUGUUGAAGGAGAUAGAAUAUUUAUAAUCACUUUUGAAUGGACACCUAUAACAAUCACAUUGCUAUUGGAUUACAAAUCAGCGUAUAUUCUGUUUGAGAAUAUUUUGAAUGAAAUUAUGUAAUACAAGCUCAAAAGUAAGGUAAAGUCAUUUUUGCAAUAACUCGUAUACACUACCCAUUGUCAAACACGCCAAAAAUGGGGUUAGAUCCAUCUGCUACAAAAUCUUAGGCAACGUGGUUUUGUUCGCAAAUUAGGCAAACAAGUAAUUUCUUUGUACAAUACAUUAUUCAUUUUAGACUUAGUGCAUGUUUGGUUCAAGUAGAGGAAUUGAAAGAGAAUGGAAUCAAAUAGAGGAGUGGAAUGGUUUUAAUAACUAUUACUUUUAUUGAGUGUUUGGUUUAACCAUGGAAAUGAAUCAUUAGUAAGGGAUUCCCUUUCCUUUUGUUUUCCCUCUAUUUUGAGGGAUAAUAAAUUAGGUGAUUGGGUUACCCUCAAGUCAGGGUAAUGGUUAACUCAUCACCCAAACCAAACAUUGAGUAAUGGAUUCAAUUAAUUGAUUCCCUUUCCAAUCUCUAAAAACACCCAACCAAACGUGGGCUAAUAGUGCUAUGCUAUGUAUGUAGAUCCAUAUGUUGUUGCUAGGAAGCACCGGUACGUUUUUGGGUGAAGCGUCCUGGUAUUAAUACCAAAAAAUACCAAGACGUUAAAAAUACGCCUAAACGAUGUAUUUAAUACGUUUUUUCGUAUUUUUUUUAAACUUACUUUUAGGGUUGGGAAAUGCGUAUUUAAUACGUUCUCGAGACGUUUUUUGACUAAAAAAUACGUCUGACCAGAUUUAAAAAAAAAAGAAAAAAAAAGAAAAAAAGAAGAAAACCAGACCCACUCUCAUUUCUCUCGUAAACCUUCACCCACCCUGCGCAAGAAGACAAGGCAGCGCCGUUCUCCGCCACCGAUCUGGACCGCCGCCUUCUGGACUGCCGUAAUUGCUAAGAUUAUCUAAUUUUUGUGGGUAUUUAACGUAAGACAUCAGUGGGUAUUUUUUGGAAUUGAAUCUUUGAUUUGUGUGAGGUAGGGUGAGUGGGUUAACUAAUACUCCCUCCGUCCCAUUGGGCUUGUCCUAUUUGGUUUCGGCACGGUUAUUAAGGAGAGUAGUAGUAGUGUUAAGUGUGUAGAUAAAGUAGGAGAGAGAAGGUGAUAAAGUAGGAGAGAGAAAGUGAUAAAGUGAUAAAGUAUGAGUGUUAUUUAUAGAAAUGAGACAAGAUGGUGGGACAAACAAAAAAGAAAUACGGGACAAGAUCAAUGGGACGGAGGGGGUAAUUGAUUGUUUAUUGCUAUUGGGGUAUAUUGGCGGUGGGUAUGGGUGAGUGGGUUAAUUAAUAAUUGAUUGUUUAUUGCUAUUGGGGUAUAUUGGCGGUGGGUAUAUUAAUAUUGGGGUGGGUAGCAGAUUGCCUAAUUAGGCUAAUUUGUGAACUAACUUCUAAGUUUUAAUAAUUAAGUACUCCCUCCGUCCCAUUAUUCAUGACACGUAUUCCUUUUUGGGUUGUCCCAACCUACAUGACACAUUUCCUUUUUUGGAAAAAAUCAGGGGGCAUUUAAGCAUUAAUAUAUUCGCUAAUUAUCCACCUAAUCACUAAUUAUCCACCUAAAACUCAUUUCCUACUUCUUCUUCUCUCUCUCCUUCCCCCACCUACCAGCCGCCUCCCUUCUCUUCUAAAAUUCUCGGCCACCACCGCCCGUCGAUCUGCCGGCCACCACCGUCAUUUCCUCUCUUCCUCUAUUCUCAGUUUCUCACGCACCCACUCAACCAGUGAACCCAAAUCCUAAGUCUUCGCUCGUCGCCUCCACUUUUCUCUCUCCGUUGAAGAGCGCCGCCGCCGGCUUCGCUCUCCCCUCUCUCGCCAAAUUUUUCCGCUCGAUUCCCGGUGACGACAGCCAACCUCCGCCGCGCCCAAGCCCCUGCCUCCCUCUCUGAUCACUCCAUCGUGCCUCCUCCGUCGUCGACGAAAUCUUCAGCCCCACCGCCAGGAGACGCAGCAGCGGCGCGGUCCGCCUCCACCCUCGGCGUAGCCCCUUUCCGCCUCCACUCUAGUUUCUGGAUUAUCAAUUUUUGUCUUCAAUACUUGGGUUUCAAUGUUUGUGGGUAGAUCUGGUUUUGAUAUUUGUUUCGAUUUUGAUAUGGUGAUUGGGUUACUCGGUAUCAAGGAAACUCAUGACUACACGAUGUAUUUAAGUCAUUUCACGUUAAUUUUACCAAAGAAGAAUUUAUAGUUUGAGAAUGCUUCCCAAGGAAGGUUCAACUUCAAGCACUCACACCCUCCACCGUCAGGUGUUGUUUGGCUUGACGUAGCUAUCAAAUUGAGAUGUUGAUGUUGAGGUCAAUUGUGAAUUCUAAACAAGGCUACUAUUGUUGCUCAAUAUGGAAGGUAUCAAAUUUCGUUCUAUUUUAUGCUAAUGUUAUUCGAAAGAUGGAAAUUUUAGAGUUGUGUUUUGAUUUAUUCCAUUAAAAUUUUAGAGUUAAUUUAUUUAAAUUUUAUAAAUAAUUCAUCAAAGUCGGCAUUAAUUUGACCACCAAAAAAUUUGUGUUAAAAUUAUUCUGUUAAAAAAGUUAAUGUAUUUUUUUGUCGUAUUAAAAAUUAAAAUUCUUCCAAAGUUUAUAUCCGCCAAUUAAAAAGAAAGAAAAAAAAAGUUCGCUUGUAUUUACAUUUGGAUUUGGGCGGAAACUGCUGCAUUUAUUUGGACCCACACCCACCGCUUGUAAUAAUUCAUUUACUCCGCCGCCGCGUUCUACACAAUUCACCGGAAAUCGAAAAGUUGAAAUGCUUCGUCCGAAACUAGCCUCCCGCAAGCCGCCACCUCCACGGCGUUGCUGCACCGACGGCAGCGUUUCGGAUCCCCAUUCCGACAUUCUUAGUAGAGAUUCGGUAAGCACUCUCCCUUAUAUUUCAUAUGCAGAUGCCUCUCUUUCAAAAUUAGGUUACACCUCAAAUUCCUUAAUUAUGCGUAUACAUUUCAUAGAAAAGGUUUUUUUAUUUGAAAUUUAGGUUAGAGAUUAGUAUAAAAAGACAUUGAUAUGCAUAUGGCUGUCUUAUUCUCUGCAUUUAAGUUUUGGACAGAUAAAACACAUUUAUACAAAUUAGUGAAUUGGUUAGUCGAUUGAUUAGUAGAGUGAUGAUGUUGUACCAAAACAAAAAUUUGUUUAAUAGCCGUCUUACUCUCUGCAUUUCAAAUAUUUAGCUUAAAUUUGGGGCAGAUAAAACACUUGUAUACAAAUUAGUGAAUUGGUUAGUCGAUUGAUUAGUAGAUGAGACAUAUUUGCAGAUGAGACAUAUUUAUGACAAUAUCUGUAUUCAACAAGCAGAUGAUAUACAUUAGAAGUCGGGCUUAUUAUUCCCGGAGGUGUAAAAAGGGGAUGCCAACAAACAUAGAGUCCCUCCCCACAGAGCUAUUGAUUGAAAUCCUCCUCCGAUUGCCGGCCGGUCAUCUCUACGAGAGAGCGAGGCUCGUCUGCCGGCGGUGGUACCACAUUAUCCAUUCUCAUGCCUUCAUCAACACGCAGAUUCACGGUGCUACCUAUGGCCUCCUUUUAUCACCCCCAAACUGGAUUAUUACUCUGCCACUUUAUGUAACAGCCGACGCAGACGGUGGAAUUCACACAGCUAAGAUAACUCACCUCUCCAAAUCGAGAGUUGUUGCUACCUGCAACGGUUUGGAGUUGGAAGCCAAAGGUUACCAAUUCCCUCGUCUUGUGAUUGUGAAUCCUGCAACGAAGCAGUCAUUCCACCUCCCACCAUUGCCUACAGGCGUAAAUGUAAUCUAUGCCGUGCUCCGGUAUGGUUUUGCAUAUUCUGCAGCUUCCUUGGCGUAUAAAGUGAUUGCACCGUACCUAGAAACUGACUACGGUCUUGACGUGCUCACCGUUGGAAUCGAUGAAUCCUGGAGGAACGUUGAGGUUCACCACCUCCCCGACCAUUUCAGGCCAUUUUUGUUCUAUAGGGAUCCCUUGACUAGUGAAGGUUUCGUGCACUGGGGAAGGGGGAGGUACUGUGUGACGAUGGAUGUGGAGACGGAGAUCAUUACACUGAGUGAAGCCCCUUGUGAGUACCAUGAACGCGACUAUUAUUAUCUGUCAACUGGGAGGUGUCUGUCUCUCCUGGUAGCGUGUGGGGAUCUGUCGUGGGAGGUUUGGGAGAUGAAGGCAGAGACGGGCGAGUGGAGGAAGGCGCUGCCCAACGUCGACUUGGGAGCUCAGAAAUGCAGGAUUCAACGUUUAGCUCCUAAAGAUGCUCCUCGAGUUCUUGUGCCACUUGGUUGGGUUAACUAUCCACAGGUUUUGGCCUUCUAUUUUGGCGAAGAUAUUUAUCAUGGGUGCCAAUGGCGGCCUUUCAUUUUCUACAAUCUUGAUACGCAUAAACUCCACUACAUAGAGCUUCCACAAUCCAAUACUAGUGAGUAUGAGGCUUUUCCGCAUAAGAAUAAUCUGAUAUGGCUAAGCUAAAAGAGUAUUAUUGUUAGUAUUAUUGUUUAUAUUUGGUUUAAGUUAAAAGAACUUAUAUAUUUUGGGGCAAUUUUAAAAAAUAUUUUAUGAUGUUUAUUUCUUCAAGACGCAUCAGCUCAUGUUGUCCGAAUAUUUUAUUUUAGUGAAAAGAGUAGUAGUAUUGAAGGUGAUAGAACAUUUAUAAUCACUUUUGAAUGGACACCUAUAACAAUCACAUUGCUAUUGGAUUACAAAUCAGCG